rnacentral:tRNA from 1 species
GUCUCAGAUAGCUUAACUGGGAGAGCCCUUGGUGCCUAACUAAAAGAUCCAGGUUCGAUUCUCGGUCCGGGCU